rnacentral:rRNA from 1 species
UACGGGGGGGGCAAGCGUUGUUCGGAAUUACUGGGCGUAAAGGGCUCGUAGGUGGCCAACUAAGUCAGACGUGAAAUCCCUCGGCUUAACCGGGGAACUGCGUCUGAUACUGGAUGGCUUGAGUUCGGGAGAGGGAUGCGGAAUUCCAGGUGUAGCGGUGAAAUGCGCAGAUAUCAGGAGGAACACCGAUGGCGAAGGCAGCUCGCUGGGACGGUACUGACGCUGAGGCGCGAAAGCGUGGGGAGCAAACAGG